AUGCCAACAUUCCUGGGCAGCCUUGUCAAAAAGGGGGUGGGCCGAAAAGGAGUCAACAGGGAAGACCUGAUCGACACAGGAUUAAACCUGACGGUGAUCUCAUCUCACCUUUUCAAAAGACUCCAAUUUGAAGCUAAGAGACAAGAUCGAACUCUUACACCUCAAACUUAUGAACUGAAUGUACAGGCGUACAGACAGAAUGACAUCCCGUUUGAACAGGUUGUUUCCAGUCACCUGACAAUCGUUCUGAUGAGUCUAAUACAUCCCAUGUAUGUCCCACUAAUGAACACUCAUACAUUUCUCAUCAACAAAGACCUGCUAGAACACUUUGACCCUUUUCUGAACUUCAAACAGCUAAAAGACUUUGCUCAAGUGCGAGAACUUCUUUCUCUCCAGCCACACAGGUUGCUAGAGCCAGACGGUCAGGUCACAGAGGUCACGGGAACCCCAGCAGCCAGCCAUGAGUACAACGCCCUAACGACAAGCUCAAGUUCAUGCCUCUGUACCUUAAUCAACAAACAGGGUACGGUGGUACCAGCUUACACCAAAGGGGUCACUGUUCGGCUUAACCUGCAAUGUGUUCAAACCUUACACCACACGCUGGGUUUCUUCCAAUCCUCACCUGAAUGUGUGGAACUCGGACUCACACUUGCAAACAACAAGCAUGUCAAACACCAACACCUGUUCCAGCAAUGUGAUAACAUCACAAAAACACACAAUGUGAUCGUGUACUGGAAGAAGGCAAAAGGACACUCGAAGAUACCAAGUCUAGACAAGGACUUUAAAGAUCACACUGACACCCUUGCCAAAACUGGCACACUAAACAACAUUCUGUGGUCACUCCCAACCCACCCACCCACAUUCAAGGUUGAAGUGAUUACACACAGCAUAAGAACUUUGCUAGCUAAACUGCCUACCUCAGAAUCGCUUACGCUGGCUCCUUUGUCUAUACAGACCAACAAAGCGGACAUGCGGGCUUCUGAAACCUCGAUAAUGACUUUGCUUUACCACCUCUUAGACCCCUCCAUCCACCCUGGCAACAAGUCUACAGUCCCUGACAACCAAAGCCACAGACCACUGCAGGGUACACAAAACAUGCUGCGUGCACAGAACAAUAUUGUGGGUUGUGCACCGUCUGACAUCACAAUGCUAGGGCUUGUAAUGCCACGGAGCAAAAGGGGGAUAAUGCCAAUAUAUUUCCAUGACGCAGCAUGUGCUGCACCACGCAGCACCAGAGCCACUGACAAAACACUGAAGCAAGCGUCAUGCCAGCAGCAAAGAGGCUGCCCUGUCCAACCAAAGACAGCCCUCGUUUGUUUCUUUCUCCCCUUUCUCUCUCUCUCUCCCUAUUAUCUGUACCAGGAUGCUGCUGUGGUUUGCCGUGCCGUACUGUCAGCCAAAGAGAGGACAGCUGCCACCGAGAAAACCGCUGAGACUCCUGAUCACCGAUGA
rnacentral:lncRNA from 1 species